UUUCAAACAACCCUAAUAAUUUUGCAACUAAUAAUCGUCUAAAUAUUCUAAUAUCUAUAUUCUUCCUUGUUGCAAUUUUGUAAACCGUCAAAGCGUUUACAACAGAAUUUCCCAGAAGGAGUUGAAUGCCAAGUUUUCUGUACCAUUUGAUUCUUUUUCUAAUUGUGGUGGCAUAAAAAACCAUUUGGUCGGAAUAAUCUAUACCACACUUUCCUUCAUUAUAUUCAACAACAGCUAGUGGUUUUAAUGUUGCGAACAAACGAAACGAAAGAUUCUUGAGACCACCACAUGAGCGACUCGCAUUAUUAAAAUAUCGAUGGGAGCACCUAGCAGAGAACGCUUGGUACUGCUAUACGCGUGGCCUGACGGAAAUUUCUUUGAAAACACGCGUGGUACUCAAUGUGUUAAUUAAGAUACAUAUUACGUUAAAGAGACGAUGCGCUUGACAGGGUGGCGAUAUGUAACAUUUAUAGGAACAAUAGUAGGAUUCAUAGGAACGUUUUGUUAUUUUACAAUGAUUAGCCCCAUGAUCAAUCCAGAACCAUAUAAACAAAUUCGAGAAGCUGUGGCAACUGAAAGUGCAAAUAAAAGAAAUAUAAGAAAAGACACAAAUAUUUAAGGAAAUAUAAUAUGAAUAAAAAAAAACAGAUUAGAGAGGACAUUUAUUGUACAAAAUUAAUUUUUAUUAUGUAGUUGGACAUAUGUCACUAAGAUGUUGGUGUAUAUAAAAUAGAUUGAAGAACAUUUAGUGUAUUAUGUUAAAAAAUCAAUAAAUGUAAUGAUUUGUACUCUU